rnacentral:rRNA from 1 species
CGGCAGCCGCGGUAAUACGGAGGGAGCUAGCGUUAUUCGGAAUUACUGGGCGUAAAGCGCACGUAGGCGGCUUUGUAAGUUAGAGGUGAAAGCCUGGAGCUCAACUCCAGAAUUGCCUUUAAGACUGCAUCGCUCGAAUCCAGGAGAGGUGAGUGGAAUUCCGAGUGUAGAGGUGAAAUUCGUAGAUAUUCGGAAGAACACCAGUGGCGAAGGCGGCUCACUGGACUGGUAUUGACGCUGAGGUGCGAAAGCGUGGGGAGCAAACAGGAUUAGAUACCCCAGUAGUCCCUGUCUCUUAUAA